GUGGGGAAUAUUGGACAAUGGGCGAAAGCCUGAUCCAGCCAUGCCGCGUGUGUGAAGAAGGUCUUCGGAUUGUAAAGCACUUUAAGUUGGGAGGAAGGGCAGUAAGUUAAUACCUUGCUGUUUUGACGUUACCGACAGAAUAAGCACCGGCUAACUUCGUGCCAGCAGCCGCGGUAAUACGAAGGGUGCAAGCGUUAAUCGGAAUUACUGGGCGUAAAGCGCGCGUAGGUGGUUUUGUAAGUUGAAGGUGAAAUCACCGGGCUCAACCUGGGAACUGCCUCCAAAACUGCAUGACUAGAGUACGGUAGAGGGUAGUGGAAUUUCCUGUGUAGCGGUGAAAUGCGUAGAUAUAGGAAGGAACACCAGUGGCGAAGGCGACUACCUGGACUGAUACUGACACUGAGGUGCGAAAGCGUGGGGAGCAAACAGGAUUAGAUACCCUUGUAGUCC
rnacentral:rRNA from 1 species